rnacentral:rRNA from 1 species
AGAGUUUGAUCCUGGCUCAGGACGACGCUGGCGGCGUGCCUAAUACAUGCAAGUCGAGCGGGGUUUUGCGGGAGCUUGCUUCUGCGGAGCCUAGCGGCGGACGGGUGAGUAACACGUAGGCAACCUGCCCGUAAGACCGGGAUAACAUAGGGAAACUUAUGCUAAUACCGGAUAGGGUUUCUUCUCGCAUGAGGGGAAACGGAAAGGUGGCGCAAGCUACCACUUGCGGAUGGGCCUGCGGCGCAUUAGCUAGUUGGUGAGGUAACGGCUCACCAAGGCGACGAUGCGUAGCCGACCUGAGAGGGUGACCGGCCACACUGGGACUGAGACACGGCCCAGACUCCUACGGGAGGCAGCAGUAGGGAAUUUUCCACAAUGGGCGAAAGCCUGAUGGAGCAACGCCGCGUGAACGAGGAAGGCCUUCGGGUUGUAAAGUUCUGUUGUCAGGGACGAAUAAGUACCGUUCGAACAGGGCGGUACCUUGACGGUACCUGACGAGGAAGCCACGGCUAACUACGUG